GUCGCACGAGAAAGCCCGAAGCUUGCUUUGGGCGAGUAAAGUGGCGCACGGGUGAGUAACGCGUGGAUAAUCUACCUUCGAGUCCGGGAUAACACUUCGAAAGAGGUGCUAAUACCGGAUGAUAUCACGAAGACUUUGGUUUUCGUGAUCAAAGAUGGCCUCUGCAAGCAAGCUGUUGCUUGAAGAUGAGUCCGCGUACCAUUAGCUUGUUGGUGGAGUAAGAGCCUACCAAGGCGACGAUGGUUAGCUGGUCUGAGAGGAUGAUCAGCCACACUGGCACUGAUACACGGGCCAGACUCCUACGGGAGGCAGCAGUGAGGAAUUUUGCGCAAUGGGGGAAACCCUGACGCAGCGACGCCGCGUGAGUGAAGAGGGCUUUCGGGUCGUAAAGCUCUGUCAAGUGGGAAGAACCCUUUCGGUGUUAACAGCAUCGGGAGCUGACGGUACCACUGAAGGAAGCACCGGCUAACUCCGUGCCAGCAGCCGCGGUAAUACGGAGGGUGCAAGCGUUAUUCGGAAUUACUGGGCGUAAAGGGCGCGCAGGCGGCCUGUCAAGUCAGUUGUGAAAGCCCGGGGCUCAACCCCGGAAGUGCGACUGAAACUGGCAGGCUUGAGUAUGGGAGAGGGAAGUGGAAUUCCUGGUGUAGCGGUGAAAUGCGUAGAUAUCAGGAGGAACACCAGUGGCGAAGGCGACUUCCUGGACCAAUACUGACGCUGAGGCGCGAAGGCGUGGGUAGCAAACAGGAUUAGAUACCCUGGUAGUCCACGCAGUAAACGGUGAUCACUAGGUGUUGCGGGCUUUGAUGUCUGCAGU
rnacentral:rRNA from 1 species